AUACGGAGGAUGCAAGCGUUAUCCGGAUUUAUUGGGUUUAAAGGGUGCGUAGGCGGAUGAUUAAGCGUGAGGUGAAAUGCCACUGCUCAACAGUGGAACUGCCUCGCGAACUGGUUGUCUUGAAUGCUCCUGCCGUGGGAGGAAUGUGUGGUGUAGCGGUGAAAUGCAUAGAGAUCACACAGAACACCCAUUGCGAAGGCAUCUCACGAAGGGGUGAUUGACGCUGAGGCACGAAAGCGUGGGGAUCAAACAGGAUUAGAUACCCUGGUAGUCCAUGCAGUAAACGAUGAUAACUAACCGCUGGGUCGUAGUGAUUCAGUGGCCAAGCGAAAGCGAUAAGUUAUCCACCUGGGGAGUACGACCGCAAGGUUGAAACUCAAAUGAAUUGGCGGGG
rnacentral:rRNA from 1 species